rnacentral:lncRNA from 1 species
AAAUUCACUAAGCAAUCAAGUCAAGAUGAAAACCGUGCUCGCUCUCUUCCUCUUCGCUCUCAUCGCCACAGCCAUGGCUGGCUUAUACUAUGGUGGUUACUAUCCUGGUUACUACGGUGCAUACCGUGGUCUAUAUGGUGGCUACUAUGGUCUUGGUCACUAUGGUGGUUAUGGUUAUCCCUACGGCUACUACGGAAAAUAUCUUUGGUAAAUUCAUGGUAAAUCUGAAAAAUUCCUGCAGUGAAAUUUCAAAUUUUCCAUCUUUCAAUAUUUUAAAAGUCUCCAAAACUCUAUGUCUUCCGUUAUUGUAAUAAUUCUAUUUUCUGUUAUUUCUAAAAAUCUGUAU